rnacentral:rRNA from 1 species
ACGGGAGGCAGCAGUGGGGAAUAUUGGGCAAUGGGCGAAAGCCUGACCCAGCAACGCCGCGUGAGGGAAGAAGGUUUUCGGAUUGUAAACCUCUGUCCUUGGUGACGAAGGAAGUGACGGUAGCCAAGGAGGAAGCCCCGGCUAACUACGUGCCAGCAGCCGCGGUAAUACGUAGGGGGCGAGCGUUGUCCGGAAUGACUGGGCGUAAAGGGCGUGUAGGCGGCACUGUAAGUCUGGAGUGAAAGUCCUGCUUUCAAGGCGGGAAUUGCUUUGGAGACUGCAGAGCUUGAGUGCAGAAGAGGUAAGCGGAAUUCCCUGUGUAGCGGUGAAAUGCGUAGAGAUAGGGAGGAACACCAGUGGCGAAGGCGGCUUACUGGGCUGUAACUGACGCUGAGGCGCGAAAGUGUGGGGAGCAAACAGGAUUAGAUACCCUGGUA